CCAUUAGGAUAGCUCACAUCGCUGGCAAUGCUAACACAAGAGCAGAAAGCCAGGAGAGGUGUAAAAAUUGGAACCAUUUGGCCCACUUAACAGCAAAAUGAUGCAAGUUGUUCAGCCUGGAAAACUCUUCAUAGGAGGCCUCAAUGCAGAGACCAAUGCAAAGUCUAUUGAAGCAGUGUUUGGAAAAUUUGGACACAUACUAGAAGUUCUAUUGAUGAAGCAUUGAGAAACGAAGAAGUCUAGAGGCUUUGCUUUUAUUACUUUUGAAAGCCCUGCAGAUGCUAAGUGUUUGGAUGGAAAAACAAAGUAGAGCAAGCCAAGAAGAAACCAUCUUUUGAAAGUCAUGGUAGGCACAAACUGCCACCUCUUUCAAGAACUAAAGUCCCCCAAAGAAGUCUGAGGUGUGGAAGAGGAGGAAGUGGUACACCAAGAGGUCGUUCUUCACGUGAAGGGUGCUUGGGUAAUAUCUUAAGAUUCAAGGAUGCAAACAUAGGAUCAAAAACCAAUGAUGGUGGAUAUACUUUUAAUCUCAGAAGAAGUUGUUCUGGGACCCUUCCCAUUUAAAAGAGUUCCAUCAUCUUCAAGAAGUGGGGUCCUCCUUCUAAAAGAUCUGCUCCUUCCCCAACAAGAAGCACUAAUGGGAUGGGAGGAUGAGGUAAAUGCUGCUUAGUAAAAGACACAGUAAUGGAGUUAGUUUCUUACAGAUGAGAU